AGCACCUGGCUCAAUGGUAGAGCGUUCGACUCAAAUACCAAAAAUCGCGGGUUCAAUUCCCAGGUGUUA
rnacentral:tRNA from 1 species